rnacentral:rRNA from 1 species
GAUGAACGCUAGCGGCAGGCUUAAUACAUGCAAGUCGAGGGGCAGCAUGAGUGUAGCAAUACAUUUGAUGGCGACCGGCAAACGGGUGCGGAACACGUACACAACCUUCCUAUAAGUGGGGAAUAGCCCAGAGAAAUUUGGAUUAAUACCCCGUAACAUAAUGAUGUGGCAUCACAUUAUUAUUAUAGCUUCGGCGCUUAUUGAUGGGUGUGCGGCUGAUUAGAUAGUUGGCGGGGUAACGGCCCACCAAGUCUACGAUCAGUAGCUGAUGUGAGAGGAUGACCAGCCACACUGGGACUGAGACACGGCCCAGACUCCUACGGGAGGCAGCAGUGGGGAAUCUUGGACAAUGGGGGCAACCCUGAUCCAGCGAUACCGCGUGUGUGAAGAAGGCCUUCGGGUUGUAAAGCACUUUAGGUGGGGAAGAAAAGUAUAUUGUGAAUAACAGUAUGCGCUGACGGUACCCGCAGAAUAAGCACCGGCUAACUCUGUGCCAGCCGCCGCAGUAAUAC